AGUCUGGAAGAUAUUUCAAAAUUCGAAAAACAAAACCCAACCAUAUGUAUAAAUGUUAUUGCUCAUGAAAAUCAUACCUUCUAUCCAUUACUUAUAUCAAAAAAUAAAGAUCGGCAGCACAAGAUUACACUAUUAUUAUUAUCAAGUAAAGAUAAAAAAUAUUAUACUCUUGUAAAAAAUCUAUCAAGAUUAUUGUCCAAUUACACUAAACAUGGACAUAAAGUAGAAAUAUGUCCACACUGUUUUCAUCGAUUUACUAGAAAAAAAGCCCUACAAAAAUUGAACAAUCAUAUUGAAUCAUGCUCUCUGGAGAAAACUCAGAGAGUAGAAAUGCCACAAAAAGGACAUGAAAUUUUAACAUUCAAAAAUUUCUCCUAUACACUUAGAGUUCCCUAUAUCAUUUAUGCAGACCUUGAGUGUCUAAUCAUCAAUGGAGAACACAUUCCUUGUGGAUAUGGAUAUGUUAUUGUAAAUGAAAGUGGAAAUAUUCACUGUGGUCCUAAAAUUGUAAGAGCAAAUUCCCUUACAGAAUCUGAAACCUUAAUUGAGAAAUUUAUAGGUGAAUUAGAUGAAUAUGGUAUUAUUCUGAAAGAUAAAUUAAAACAAAAUAUCCCCAUGACCAUUAAUUCUGAAGAGAAUAGAAAAUUCUUAGAGGAAACAUUGUGUUGCUUAUGUAAUAAACGUUUACUGUUUGAUAGGGUUAGGCACCACUCACAUUCAAAUGGGAUGUACCUGGGUGCAGCCCACAACAAUUGUAAUUUAAAUGCAGAAAAAGUUGAAAAGAUACCAGUAGUGUUUCAUAAUUUUUCAGGAUAUGAUUCACAUUUUAUAAUACAAGCAUUGACUAAUUAUAAGAAAAAAAUAAGCUGUAUUGCCAAGACUAGUGAGAAAAUUAUCUCUAUAACAUUGAAUGAUACACUAAGAUUUAUUGAUUCUCUCAAUUUCUUGAAUUCAUCUCUUGAGAAAUUGGCUGAGAUCAAUUCAAAAUUUGAUCUUCUAUCAAAACAUUUCUCCUCAAAUAAAGCAGACCUAUUGAAAACAAAACAAUUUUACCCAUACGAAUAUAUGAAUAGUUUUGAGCGAUUCCAAGAAACGAAAUUACCUACUAUUGAUAAAUUCUACAGUAGACUAACCGACAGUCAAAUCACUGAAACAGAAUAUCAGCAUGCACAGAACAUUUGGAAGCAUUUCAACAUAAAAAAUCUUGCUGAAUACCAUGACCUUUACUUAAAAACAGACAUUCUUCUAUUAGCAGACAUUUUUCAGAAUUUUCGAACAAGUUUCAUGUGUACCUAUAAUCUAGACCCUCACUUCUUCUCUCUUCCACAUUAUUCUUGGUUUGCUAUGUUGAAAAUUACAGGAGUAGAGCUCAAACUCUUGACUGAUAUUGAUAUGCACCUAUUCUUUGAAAAAGGAAUAAGAGGGGGGAUAAGUGUCAUUCCUAAGAGAUAUGCAAAAGCAAACAAUAGAUAUAUGAGUAAUUUCAACAUAAAUGAGCCAGAAACAUACAUAAUCUAUUGGGAUUGUAAUAAUUUGUAUGCCGUGGGUAUGUCUGGAAAUCUUCCACAUUCAAAAUUUGAAUGGAUGAGUGAAAGAGAAAUAGAAGAAUUUGAUCCUCAAAAAUAACUGAUUCAAGUUUAGGGUACAUGUUGGAAGUGGACUUGGAAUACCCCUCUCACCUUCAAAGCACACACAAUUGUUUCCCUCUAGCACCCUUGAAAGAAACACCACCUACUGGUAGAUAUGAGAAACUAAUAACAACAUUCACAAACAAAGAAAAAUAUGUAAUAUAUUCUGAUAAUCUAAAACUCUACUUAGAAUUGGGUAUGGUGUUGAAAAAAGUACACAGAGGUAUAAAAUUUGAACAAAGUAGAUGGAUGAAACCUUUCAUUGAUAUGAAUACACAAUUAAGGACAGUAGCAGAUAAUGAAUUUGAUCGAACCCUUUACAAGUUGAUUAAUAAUAGUUGUUAUGGCCGCACUCUCAUGAAUGUUAAAAACCAUACAGACUUUGAAAUUGUAAUGGAUGAAGAGAAACUAGACAGAAUCAUCUCCAAGCCAAGAGUAAAAAAUUGGUUUCCAUAUAAUGAGAAUGUUACUGGUGUGUGCUUGAAUAAAAUUAAAGUUGUAUUGAACAAACCAAUUUUUGUUGGUGCUGUAAUAUUGGAACACAGCAAAAAUGUUAUGUACGAUUUCCAUUACAAUCAAAUCAAGAAUAUAUUCAAAGACAAAUGUGAAGUUUUGAUGUCUGAUACUGAUAGUUUUAUGUAUGUGAUACAGACUGAAGAUAUUUAUGAAGAUAUUAGGAAAUAUAAACAUUUAUUUGACACAUCAAACUUUCCUAAAAAUCACCCAUGUUAUAAUGAGGAGAAUAAAAAAGUAAUUGGUAAAUUCAAAGAUGAGAAUGGUGGCAGAAUUAUAACUGAAUUUAUAGGAUUACAAGCCAAAAUGUACUCAUUUAUAUUCUCUAACUGUGAAGAAAAGAAGGUGGCCAAGGGUGUUCCAAAGAGUGCUCAAAGAAACCAAUUACAAUUCAAGUUGUACAAAAAAUGUUUGUUUGAAGGUGUUGAGCAUACAAUAAAAUCUGUACAUAUUGUAAGUAAACUACAUAUUGUCACAACUGAAAACCAGGAGAAGGUUGCUCUUAGGCCCUAUGAUGAUAAAAGAUUCAUAAGAAAUGAUUGUAUAAAUACAUUGGCUUGGGGACAUAAAGAUAUUCAGAACAGUAAAAGGAGGUGUGAUGAUGAGCAUGCUGCUACCAAAAGGGUGAGAUCACUAUCUAGCUAGGUAGGUUGGUAGGUAGGUAGGUGUGUAUUUGUAAAAAAAAUAUUUAGAAUUAUCAAUUAUUCCUGUAUUUCUUCAGUUAUAAUAUUAAAACCUUGUAGAGGCUUAAAAUUAAUUAUUCUCUCUAUUAAUUUUUAUGACAAAUUUUCCACUUUGAUGCUGUAAUUAAUUCUCAAUUAUAAGGUUUUAUAAUUAUUGUAAUCUUCUACAUUACUUUCCUAACCAUACCACUCAAUGGUGUGUAUUCAUACACAUUAUCAUAAAGAAUUAGACAGUAGGCAGAGGUUUUAUCAGGUAUAUUUUCAUUAGUUUCAAAUGUAAGUUUAACAUCUAGUGCACCAGAUUUCAACAAUUCAUUUUGACGACUGCAAUCUAUUACUAUUAGUGCAGCCUUUUCAAUGAAUGUAUUAUAUGAUAUUGAAGUAAGAUUGUUACUGUUAUUAUGUGGAUAGUAAGCAUGUGGGAAGCUACUAAACAUAUGAUAGAGCAAGUGUUUGCUUCCCAUUAUAUUGUCAUAGGGGAAGUAUUGUGCAUUCAAAUAGAGACGAACAUUGUGUAGUUUACAUAGAUCAAAACAUGACUUGUUUGCACUCAGUUUAUUUUUCUUAUCAGUUUGAAAGCCUAGAAUAAUAAAUCUAGGCUUCUCCAUUUGUGAAGCUGUUUUAACUGUCCAUUGAUGAGUAGUAGUUUGAGGAAGUGUUGGAUACUCAUGUAUCUGCCAUGAUCU